UUUAGUUACGAACAAUUUUUUUUAAAGUUAGCUUCUGAUUUUUUUUUUUUUUUGGCUUUGUUUAGUUGUCUCUUAAUGUUUUUUAAAAUCAUAUUUGUAAUUGUCGUUGCUUUCCUUCUGGUGUAUUUGAUGAAGGUAAGUAAUCCAGGAGCACGCACGGGUUAGUAAUAGUCUUGGCCUUUUCACGCAUGUAAACCUUCUCAAGACAAAUGCAGAGGGAUGCGGCAGGUUUUCUGGUUGGUUAUCCAUUACUUGGUAAAUAAACAGAACCUUCUUUCUUGAGCUCUUUCUUAGAACUGCUGACCCAGUGGCCCUCUGAGGAGAGCUACUGCACGACUUGAACAUCUUAGGUCUCCAAAAGAGCUCAGGCUUUAGAACUGUUGUUGUGUGUUUAUUACAGUGUAUGGGAGUUUCCAUGCCUGUUCCUGGACAGAUAAUAACUCUUCGUAUCCCUUGGCUGCAAGAGAGGAAACUAACAGUUUGCUAAUCAUUUUAUUGAUGAGAAAAAAAAAUGGUGUAGAUAUAGUACUUAAAGCUAGAAAUGUAGUUAAUACAAAUUAUUAAUAAAGUAAGAUAGAAAAGAAAGUAAAAUGAAUAGAAUAGAAUAAAACUCCUCUGGUAACAUUGACAGUGUAAAGCUGAGGUCCGUUCGCUCGCGUGCUGUAGGCGUGCUAUCGCCUCGUCAGGUCGGGACGAGCUCCCUGCAUUGCACCAGUCCAAGAUGGGAGUAGGCUCCUGUAGACCAGCAGUGUUACCUUCAUUUUUAUUUCAGUAAAGGAGAUAAAAA